rnacentral:sRNA from 1 species
GGAAGCAGAGUUGGGUGAGGUGUCAUGAAUAGAAAGGAGACCUCCAGGGAGCUCUCUCUCCCCCAAUGGCAGUCCUUGGAACAGUGUUGCAGAGGGAAGCAACAUGCACUGGAAGGGGUCCUAUGAAGCCUGGGACAGCCUCGACCUUACAAUGUAUCAAACUUGCAAUGUAACCUUACAAUCUA